rnacentral:rRNA from 1 species
UAGUAACGGCGAGUGAAGAGGGAAAAGCUCAAAUUUUAAAUCUGGUGUCUUUGACUCCCGAGUUGUAAUCUAGAGAAGUGUUUUCCGUGUCGGACCGUGUACAAGUUCCCUGGAACGGGGCGUCAUAGAGGGUGAGAAUCCCGUAUAUGCCACGGACUACCGAUGCUCUGUGAUACACUCUCAACGAGUCGAGUUGUUUGGGAAUGCAGCUCAAAAUGGGUGGUAAAUUCCAUCUAAAGCUAAAUAUUGGCGAGAGACCGAUAGCGAACAAGUACCGUGAGGGAAAGAUGAAAAGCACUUUGGAAAGAGAGUGAAACAGUACGUGAAAUUGUUGAAAGGGAAGCGUUUGAAGUCAGUCGCAUCUGUUGGGGUUCAGCCUGGCUUUUGCCUGGUGUAUUUCCUUUCCGAUGGGUCAGCAUCAGUUUCGACCGAGGGAAAAAGACAUUUGGAAUGUGGCUGUCUUCGGGCAGUGUUAUAGCCUUGUGUUGUAUGUCUCGGUUGGGACUGAGGAUUGCAGCGCGCCUUAUGGCCGGGGGGUCGCCCUCUCGACACGCGCUUAGGA